UACGUAGGGGCCGAGCGUUGUCCGGAGUUACUGGGCGUAAAGCGCGCGCAGGCGGCGCAUCGCGCCCGGCGUGAAAGCCCCCGGCUCAACCGGGGAGGGUCGUCGGGGACGGGUGCGCUUGAGGACGGCAGGGGCAGGUGGAAUUCCCGGUGUAGUGGUGAAAUGCGUAGAUAUCGGGAGGAACACCUGUGGCGAAGGCGGCCCCCUGGUUGGAUACUGACGCUGGAUACGCGAAAGCGUGGGGAGCAAACGGG
rnacentral:rRNA from 1 species